GCGGGCGUAGUUCAGUGGUAGAACAACUCCUUGCCAAGGAGUAGGUCACGAGUUCGAAUCUCGUCGCCCGCU
rnacentral:tRNA from 1 species